CUUGUACUCCCUCCGUCCGAAAAUACUUGUCAUUGAAAUGGAUGUAUCUAGAUGUAUUUUAGUUCUAGACACAUCCAUUUUGAUGACAAGUAAAUCCGGACGGAGGGAGUACUUG
rnacentral:pre_miRNA from 1 species